GUGUUGUAUGAAAGGAGAGACGGUUAGCACACCCCUAGACAAGGAUGGAACACAUAUAAGGUUGAGGCACCGCUGAGUUAUCCUUCCCCCCAUGAACCAUGGACCUUG